GUGGAAACAGAUAUCAUGGAAUGAAGAUUGCCGGAGGCUGAAGAUUGCAGAUACAAUAGCAAGAGGACAUCUCUGCUUUUGAAGCAUUGAGGAGCCAUGCCUUGCAUCAGAGGAGCUGUAAAUUGGGAUGGUGGCUUUGUCCAGCAUUCUGAGCGAGGAGGACCUUCGAUCUGAGAGGAAUUGGAAGAAAGGCAUAAAGGAGACCUGUGUUUCAGUGACAGAAGAAGGUAUCUCCUGGCAAAUGAUG